rnacentral:rRNA from 1 species
CCCAGACUCCUACGGGAGGCAGCAGUGGGGAAUAUUGGGCAAUGGGCGCAAGCCUGACCCAGCAACGCCGCGUGAAGGAAGAAGGCUUUCGGGUUGUAAACUUCUUUUAAGAGGGAAGAGUAGAAGACGGUACCUCUUGAAUAAGCCACGGCUAACUACGUGCCAGCAGCCGCGGUAAUACGUAGGGGGCAAGCGUUAUCCGGAUUUACUGGGUGUAAAGGGAGCGUAGACGGCAGUGCAAGUCCGGAGUGAAAGCCCGGGGCUCAACCCUGGGACUGCUCUGGAAACUGUAAAGCUGGAGUGCGGGAGGGGCAGGCGGAAUUCCUGGUGUAGCGGUGAAAUGCGUAGAUAUCAGGAGGAACACCGGCGGCGAAGGCGGCCUGCUGGACCGUAACUGACGUUGAGGCUCGAAAGCGUGGGGAGCAAACAGGAUUAGAUACCCCAGUAGA